rnacentral:rRNA from 1 species
CCUACGGAGGCUGCAGUGGGGAAUAUUGGACAAUGGGCGAAAGCCUGAUCCAGCCAUGCCGCGUGUGUGAAGAAGGCCUUCGGGUUGUAAAGCACUUUCAGUGGGGAAGAAAGCCUUGGGGCUAAUACCCUCGAGGAAGGACAUCACCCACAGAAGAAGCACCGGCUAACUCCGUGCCAGCAGCCGCGGUAAUACGGAGGGUGCGAGCGUUAAUCGGAAUUACUGGGCGUAACGCGCGCGUAGGCGGUCUGAUAAGCCGGUUGUGAAAGCCCCGGGCUCAACCUGGGAACGGCAUCCGGAACUGUCAGGCUAGAGUGCAGGAGAGGAAGGUAGAAUUCCCGGUGUAGCGGUGAAAUGCGUAGAGAUCGGGAGGAAUACCAGUGGCGAAGGCGGCCUUCUGGACUGACACUGACGCUGAGGUGCGAAAGCGUGGGUAGCAAACAGGAUUAGAUACCCUAGUAGUC